UACGUAGGGGCUAGCGUUGUCCGGAUUUAUUGGGCGUAAAGCGCGUGUAGGCGGCCAGGUAGGUCCGCUGUGAAAACUCGAGGCUCAACCUCGAGCUGUCGGCGGAAACCAUCUGGCUAGAGUCCGGAAGAGGAGAGUGGAAUUCCCGGUGUAGCGGUGAAAUGCGCAGAUAUCGGGAAGAACACCCGUGGCGAAGGCGGCUCUCUGGGACGGUACUGACGCUGAGACG
rnacentral:rRNA from 1 species